CUGGAUGCUGACGAGCGGCGGACGGGUGAGUAAUGCAUAGGAAUCUGCCCGAUAGUGGGGGAUAACCUGGGGAAACCCAGGCUAAUACCGCAUACGUCCUACGGGAGAAAGGGGGCUCCGGCUCCCGCUAUGGGAUGAGCCUAUGUCGGAUUAGCUAGUUGGUGAGGUAAUGGCUCACCAAGGCCACGAUCCGUAGCUGGUCUGAGAGGAUGAUCAGCCACAUCGGGACUGAGACACGGCCCGAACUCCUACGGGAGGCAGCAGUGGGGAAUAUUGGACAAUGGGCGAAAGCCUGAUCCAGCCAUGCCGCGUGUGUGAAGAAGGCCCUCGGGUUGUAAAGCACUUUCAGCGAGGAAGAACGCCUAGCGGUUAAUACCCGCUAGGAAAGACAUCACUCGCAGAAGAAGCACCGGCUAACUCCGUGCCAGCAGCCGCGGUAAUACGGAGGGUGCAAGCGUUAAUCGGAAUUACUGGGCGUAAAGCGCGCGUAGGUGGCUUGAUAAGCCGGUUGUGAAAGCCCCGGGCUCAACCUGGGAACGGCAUCCGGAACUGUCAAGCUAGAGUGCAGGAGAGGAAGGUAGAAUUCCCGGUGUAGCGGUG
rnacentral:rRNA from 1 species